GGGAGGGUGGUCUAGCUUGGUAUGAUUCCUGGUUUGGGACCAGGUGGCCGGGGGUUCAAAUCCCCCCUCUCCCA
rnacentral:tRNA from 1 species